rnacentral:rRNA from 1 species
CGGAUUGGAGUCUGCAACCCGACUCCAUGAAGCUGGAUUCGCUAGUAAUCGCGCAUCAGCCACGGCGCGGUGAAUACGUUCCCGGGCCUUGUACACACCGCCCGUCAAGCCAUGGAAGCCGGGAGUGCCUGAAGUACGCGACCGCAAGGAGCGUCCUAAGGUAAAACCGGUGACUGGGGCUAAGUCGUAACAAGGUACC